GAUGAACGCUGGCGGCAUGCCUAAUACAUGCAAGUCGAACGGGGUGCUUGCACCCAGUGGCGAACGGGUGAGUAACACGUAUCUAAUCUACCCAUUAGCGGGGGAUAACAGUUGGAAACGACUGCUAAUACCGCAUACGACAUUUUCUGGCAUCAGAGAAUGUUAAAAGGUCCGUUUGGACCACUAAUGGAUGAGGGUGCGGCGUAUUAGUUAGUUGGUGGGGUAAUGGCCUACCAAGACAGUGAUACGUAGCCGAACUGAGAGGUUGAACGGCCACAUCGGGACUGAGACACGGCCCGAACUCCUACGGGAGGCAGCAGUAGGGAAUUUUUCACAAUGGGCGAAAGCCUGAUGGAGCAAUGCCGCGUGACUGAAGACGGUCUUCGGAUUGUAAAGGUCUGUUGUAAGGGAAGAACAGUAAGUAUAGGAAAUGAUACUUAUUUGACGGUACCUUACCAGAAAGCCACGGCUAACUAUGUGCCAGCCGCCGCCGUAACAC
rnacentral:rRNA from 1 species